AGGGCCAACACAGAUAGACAGACAACAUUCACACUCACAUUCACACACUAGGGCCAAUUUAGUGUUGCCAAUCAACCUAUCCCCAGGUGCAUGUCUUUACUAAAUUUAAAUUCACUCCCUCAGUUAUUUGAUAGAACAAUAUAGUUAUAGUUUGCAGGGGUACAUUGUUGUAUAUGUGAGGGACAAAAGAUGUGACAAUCAUUGGUACUUUCACUUUCAUAUUAGGAACAGUAAAACAAAAGUGACUGUUGUUCAGUGUAUGUGAAAAAUGCUGAAGCCACAAGCAUUAGCACUUUAAAAGUAACAUCUAAGACACACACAGUGGAAGGGCUUCUCGGCAGUGCACUAGAAGAGAAGCACAACAUACAGAAGUCGUGUGCUAAAAAACUAAGAAGGCCCACAUAUGAAAAGUUAAUUAGUUUGGAUAUACCACUAGCUCUUCUCAUCAUGUUGCUUCCAGUUUAGAGGUUUGACAUAUAAUAAUACAGUACACAAGUGUAAUUUUUACAGGGCCAAAAAAAACAACUAACCAUGGGCCGAAAUUACCCCCCAGCCGCACUUCGAACACAGGUUUUGGCACAUUCACCUGACGGACAUUUAACUACACUGUGUAAUUGAUUAUUAAUAGAAAAUGGUGCUAUUCUUUUUUCGUCCGUUUGUUUAUUUGGUUGACUGUAAACUACACACUAAGCUAACACAAUCAAUUUUAGAAUGUUGGACAUAAAAUAUUUUUAGUUGCUGUUACUGAUCUUCUUUGACAUGUAUGUUGAUGCAGUGUGGUGUCCUGUGGGAUGGAGGCCGCUGUGGCAGCAGAAGUGAAUUUGCACUGGCAGCAUGCCGUGUAAGGAAGCGUGCUGCCUUCAAGUGUCCCUGAUGCUGGGAGGACAAGUCAGUCCACUGGUCCAAAGCUGCCCUGAAGAGGAAGCGGUCCUCCAACGUCACACCUGCAGUGGCAGAGACACUAAUACCUCCAUCCCAUAAGUAGACCUGCCAGUGGCGUCAGUCCUCCAUCGUGUCCCACCGCCCCGCACCACUUCUCCAUCUGAGCCAAUAAACAAUCCAGUUCAAGAAUGGCCGGGCGCGUCCGUAUAGAUUUGAUCUUGGACACGUCGUCAAACAGAAGCUGUGGGAGCGUCAGUCUCGCCCCACAUUUAAAGAGAGUGUGGAUGAGAACAACCAAGUCAAUAUCACUCCAUCGUACGGAGGUGGAGUCUUCCCACCUCUGUAUGAUGUUGACGUUUCACUUGACUUUAAAUCUCUAAAGUGGAAGCAACAUGAUAAGAGUUAGGGGUUUAUCCAAACGUAUGAACUCUUCAUAUGUGGGCCUUCUAGUGCACUGUUGAAAUGUGUGUGUGUGUGUCUUAUGUUGCUUUUAAAGCGCUGACACUGCUGCUGUUUGCCUUAAUUUCUUUAAGCAUUUUUUUUACAUACACUGAACAGCAAUGACAUGCGUCUG